rnacentral:rRNA from 1 species
UACGUAGGGCGCAAGCGUUGUCCGGAAUCAUUGGGCGUAAAGAGCUCGUAGGUGGUCUGUUACGUCUGCUGUGAAAUCCUAGGGCUUAACCCUGGGCCUGCAGUGGAUACGGGCAGACUAGAGAUAGGUAGGGGAGAAUGGAAUUCCCGGUGUAGCGGUGAAAUGCGCAGAUAUCAGGAGGAACACCGGUGGCGAAGGCGGAUCUCUGGGCCGAUACUGACGCUGAGGAGCGAAAGCGUGGGGAGCGAACAGG